rnacentral:lncRNA from 1 species
GGUGGACCGUGUAUAUUUAAUCUGUAAGAGAGGAAACCAAAAAAUAUGCGAUCCAUCCUCACUGAUCUGGAGAUCUACAGCCCAGCGCGGGACCCUAACUGUCAGUCUCCGUGGGGAUAUAUUCUUGCACAGGCGAGAGACUUCUGGAUGCUGGGAGGCAGCCCCGACCUCUGGCACGGCGGAGCCUCGCACGGCGCCGCAGCCCCGGCUGCAGAGAGGAGCGGCAAAGAGCCCCAUACAAACCUGUGCCAGCUCUGCUCCCCAUUUCUAGCCCCAAGGUUUGAAAUUUAUUGAAAUGCAAGAGGGCGGCUGCAGUGAGUCCGAGGAGGUGGCGUCCCGCGAUUAAGUGUUGGGCAGCUCUGUCAUGUCUGCUCUGACACAAGCUGAAGUUGACUGCCAAAGUGCUAUAAAACCGCAGGUCAGUCUAGAACUGUUUUCGGUUCCCCUAGACGCGCCGUGUUCAAUUAUAGCCUUAAAAGCCCUAAUACAAGUGCAAGAAUUUGUUUGCCAUCACACAGAGGCGGGGCGAGGCUCGGCAAUGGUGGCGCCUUUGUUAUCUCAAAGUCACUGAAAUCCUUAUACAUUCCUUUUUGUUCGAAGGGAGGAGUGUCUGCGUGUGUGCAGGGUGUGGGGAGAGGUUUUUCAUCGACGGAACUGAACGGUGCGGGUAUACAGGGAAAAUAACCAAUGUUCGGACACCAAAAGAGGGCUUCCGACCCCCCAGCCCACUCCACCCACCACCACCACCACGACCACCCCCCGUAAAACACCUAGGAGGAAAGUAAAUGUGAGCAAAAUUACAGCGUUAAGGAAAAAGCCAACCAGAGCUCUUGUACACCCCUCCCCACCUCAAGUUAAAAAAAAAAAAAAGAAAAAAAAGAAAAAAAGAAAAAAAAAGAAAAGAAAAGAAAAGAAAAAAAGAAAAGAAAGAAAAGAAAAGAAAAGAAAAGAAAAGAAAGAAAAGAAAAGAAAAGAGAGGGAGAGAGAAGGAAAGCCCCCCAACCUUUUUACAAUCCCUAAACGACAUUGCAGUCUUCUGCUAGCAAUUUUGACGACAUGCAAUCUCUUUCCAUCCACUUUCUAGCAAAUAUGUCAAGCUGGAAGAUUAAUUCAUUAAUUUCAAGUUCAGCUCACAGACGUGCGGUAAGCAUAAGAAGUUCUUGCAGCAAACCAAAAUAAAGAGUUCAUUACAGGGAUACGUCCAGAGCAUUUGAUUUGUGAACGGUAACCCUUGUAAAAUAAGAAAAAGGCAUAUAAACAUUAAUGCUAAUAAAUUAGUUUACUCCACUACAAAGUAAUUACUUGAUAAUAUUGAAUUUACAGCUUGAAUUCAAACGCAACAGUUAACUAUAAUGUAGGGGAAAUACAUAAUGAGAAUAUUUUCUCUCUGCACAACAUGAUUAGAUUUGUUAUUGGGUCGGUUACGAUAAGCUAAGCAAUAAAUAAACAAAUCGAUGUUGACAUUUAAAUACCGAAGAUCUCCAGAAUUUACUAGAGAACUUUCUCCGGAUGUAUAAAUACUUCCACAGCACUGCAGAGGAAGAGGGGGGAAAAUCCAAAUAUUAUUUCCCUAACAUUUUCGUUUCCCUUUCACUACCCUCCCAAGUCCACGGGGGCACGGAUCUUGAACUACGUCUGAUUUCCUCAGAGUACCGACUUCACAAUUAGCCUUUUGC